GACGAACGCUGGCGGCGUGCUUAACACAUGCAAGUCGAACGCUGAAGCUCAGCUUUUGUUGGGUGGAUGAGUGGCGAACGGGUGAGUAACACGUGAGUAACCUGCCCCCUUCUUUGGGAUAACGCCCGGAAACGGGUGCUAAUACUGGAUAUUCACUGGUCUUCGCAUGGGGGUUGGUGGAAAGGGUUUUUCUGGUGGGGGAUGGGCUCGCGGCCUAUCAGCUUGUUGGUGGGGUGAUGGCCUACCAAGGCUUUGACGGGUAGCCGGCCUGAGAGGGUGACCGGUCACAUUGGGACUGAGAUACGGCCCAGACUACUACGGGAGGCGGCAGUGGGGAAUAUUGCACAAUGGGCGCAAGCCUGAUGCAGCGACGCCGCGUGAGGGAUGGAGGCCUCCGGGUUGUGAACCUCUUUCGCUCAUGGUCAAGCCGCAACAAUGGUUGUGGUGAGGGUAGUGGGUAAAGAAGCGCCGGCUAACUACGUG
rnacentral:rRNA from 1 species